AUGCAAGUCGUGCGAGAAAGUAUCUUCGGAUAUGAGUAGAGCGGCGGACGGGUGAGAAACGCGUAGGAAUCUACCUAGUAGAAGGGGAUAGCCCGAGGAAACUCGGAUUAAUACCGUAUACCUCCUUUGGGAGAAAGAGGGCCUCUCUUGAUGCUCUCGCUAUUAGAUGAGCCUGCGUAAGAUUAGCUUGUUGGUGAGGUAAUGGCUCACCAAGGCUACGAUCUUUAGCUGGUCUGAGAGGACGAUCAGCCACAUUGGGACUGAGACACGGCCCAGACUCCUACGGGAGGCAGCAGUGGGGAAUAUUGGACAAUGGGCGCAAGCCUGAUCCAGCCAUACCGCGUGUGUGAAGAAGGCCUUCGGGUUGUAAAGCACUUUAAGCAGGGAGAAAAAGUUAUAAGUUAAUACCUUAUAACCGUGAUGUUACCUGCAGAAUAAGCACCGGCUAAUUCCGUGCCAGCAGCCGCGGUAAUACGGAAGGUGCAUGCGUUAAUCGGAAUUACUGGGCGUAAAGCGCGCGUAGGUGGUUUGUUAAGUUGGAUGUGAAAGCCCUGGGCUCAACCUAGGAACUGCAUCCAAAACUAACUCACUAGAGUACGAUAGAGGGAGGUAGAAUUCAUAGUGUAGCGGUGGAAUGCGUAGAUAUUAUGAAGAAUACCGGUGGCGAAGGCGGCCUCCUGGAUCUGUACUGACACUGAGGUGCGAAAGCGUGGGUAGCGAACAGGAUUUAGAUACCCUGGUAGUCCACGCCGUAAACGAUGACAACUAGCUGUUGGGAGACAAUGUCUU
rnacentral:rRNA from 1 species